rnacentral:rRNA from 1 species
AUUGAACGCUGGCGGCAUGCUUUACACAUGCAAGUCGGACGGCAGCACAGAGAAGCUUGCUUCUUGGGUGGCGAGUGGCGAACGGGUGAGUAAUAUAUCGGAACGUACCGAGUAAUGGGGGAUAACUAAUCGAAAGAUUAGCUAAUACCGCAUAUUCUCUGAGGAGGAAAGCAGGGGACCUUCGGGCCUUGCGUUAUUCGAGCGGCCGAUAUCUGAUUAGCUAGUUGGUGGGGUAAAGGCCUACCAAGGCGACGAUCAGUAGCGGGUCUGAGAGGAUGAUCCGCCACACUGGAACUGAGACACGGCCCAGACUCCUACGGGAGGCAGCAGUGGGGAAUUUUGGACAAUGGGCGCAAGCCUGAUCCAGCCAUGCCGCGUGUCUGAAGAAGGCCUUCGGGUUGUAAAGGACUUUUGUCAGGGAAGAAAAGGCUGUUGCUAAUAUCGACAGCUGAUGACGGUACCUGAAGAAUAAGCACCGGCUAACUACGUG